UACGUAGGGGGCAAGCGUUGUCCGGAAUCAUUGGGCGUAAAGAGCGUGUAGGCGGCCCGGUAAGUCCGCUGUGAAAGUCCAGGGCUCAACCCUGGGAUGCCGGUGGAUACUGUCGGGCUCGAGUCCGGAAGAGGAGUGUGGAAUUCCUGGUGUAGCGGUGAAAUGCGCAGAUAUCAGGAGGAACACCGAUGGCGAAGGCAGGUCUCGUGGGCCACUACUGACGCUGAGAAGCGAAAAGCAUGGGGGAGCGAACAGG
rnacentral:rRNA from 1 species